UAAAUACUCCCUCCGUUCGAAAAUACUUGUCAUCAAAAUGGAUAAAAAGAGAUGUAUCUAAAACUAAAAUACGUCUAGAUACAUUUCCUUUUAUCCAUUUUGAUGACAAAUAUUUCCGGACGGAGGGAGUAUUUG
rnacentral:pre_miRNA from 1 species